UACAGAGGGGGCAAGCGUUGUUCGGAUUUACUGGGCGUAAAGGGCGCGUAGGCGGCCACCGCAAGUCGACUGUGAAAUCUCCGGGCUUAACCCGGAAAGGUCAGCCGAUACUGCGGGGCUAGAGUGCAGAAGGGGCAACUGGAAUUCUCGGUGUAGCGGUGAAAUGCGUAGAUAUCGAGAGGAACACCUGCGGCGAAGGCGGGUUGCUGGGCUGACACUGACGCUGAUGUGCGAAAGCUAGGGGAGCGAACGGG
rnacentral:rRNA from 1 species